rnacentral:lncRNA from 1 species
UGAAUAAUUAGGUUGAUAUUGAGGGAUUAAUAAAGGAUCAGCGGGCCAAGAUGUUUUGAGAUCAAACGGUGAAGUAAUAUUGUGUACUUGUGCUAAGUACUUUUGGUUUUGCCCGCUGAAGGAUUCAUAUGGUUACAAGUUGUACCUCUGACAGUGCUAAAUCAUAUAUAUUUCUUUCAGGUACAUUACUCAUGCAUUUUUCCUCUAAUGGUCUGACACAAUUUUAUCCUCGUUCAAAUUAACUAGGUGCUAGGGACAGUCCUCCAGAGCAAAAGCAUUCAUUUUCAAGGACAUCAUAAGAUGCUAAAAAGUCCAAUUCAAGUAAUUUCUUCAUAAAACAGGUAAUUAUUGACUUCUAAAAACUGAUCUACACAGUUAAAGUUUCUGGUAUCACAGAGGUAACUUACCUGAUAGCCAGGAUAUAUAUUUGAAGGGUAAGUGUUUUUGGAUUGCUUGAGGUAGGGCUACAAGUAACAACUAGAGAAGAAGGGGGCCAAAAAUCCAAAAAGGCAUUAGGCUUGCAGCCACUCCGCCGACAUGACAGUCUUAGUACGCGGCACCGCGUAAACACCCAUUGUGGCGGCGACCACUGACACUGACAACAACGUGGCUUUUCAGCGAGCGGCGGCCCUGACGGUGGCAGCACCCAUCACAUAAGGCAACGCUCCGCACCAGAUCUCUGUUGUGCACACCCAUCCGACCACACCCGACGGUGUUCCCUGAGCCAUGGUGUGUGCCUUCUCCUCCCCUAGAUCAUCUCACCAAUUACUUGCACACCAUCGCCGCAUGAUCCACUAGAGGUACGCCUAGACCAUACUGAAAACGAACUUCCAUUUUCACAAUUAUUUCUUUCUCUCCCUUUUUGUGAGUCUCUGAUCCCUGUUCAUACUUUAUUACUACAGGAAUGUAUAGCAUAGAUUAUCUAUAAAAGAUACUGCUUACUUCUGAUGCUCCAUCAUCGUGUCAGGCUUCAUUUGAUCCUAAAGGACUCCUUUGGUUAGUAAUUCAUCUACUCUUCAUCAUUUUUAUAAAUUAACUUGACUUUAUUUAACUUGGUAAGUUUUGACUGUCUAUCCUUUGCUCAUUGGCUCUAUAUGGCGAUUGUCACAUGUUUGAUUUGACUGCAGAUUGGACAUGUAAUUAUACAUUUCGAGGUAUAACGCUUGUGUUUGUUUCUACAUUUGAACAUUUCUCUUGUGGCGUAGAAACCAUAUUCUAUUCCCCCCUGUUGGGCCAACUUGCUUGUAGAAUUACAAUGGGAGAAUUAUUGAUUUGUUAAUCCAUUCCUUCAACAUGUUAGAACUUGCAUUUUUCCUGCUUAAAGUAUUACGUUAAUACACUACAUAAUCACUGGUGCCUGCAGAGCUGACGUAAUAUAACAAAUUAGGCUGGGUCUGAAAUGUGCAGCCAUGUUGGCCUCGCCAAUGAGUGAAUGUUGGAAGAUGCAACAUUAGGAAAUGCCGAGUAUAUAUGGCAACAUCCAUGGUUCUGUAUCCUAUCUCAUAUAAGGCCUAAUUAAGUCAUUUAGCGCCGAUGUGAUUAGUGAUGUUCCACUGACCUUGAGGUGUGUUAUCACAUACCAAGCAAUUAAUCUACUACCUAAAGUCAUUUUCAUUGCCUCGAUAUCAUUCCCUAUGUCUUUCUUGAAUUCUUUGCUCAAGACAAUUUCCCUGAGAUUAGUUUCCUUUUUGUUCACUUCAGUUUUUAUUUGUUCUAUAGUUCACACCUGGUCCCUUUAGUGUAACUUAUCGAAUAACAAAGUUUUGUCUUUUAUUCACUGGAUGUGGUUCCUAUAGUCAGGGAAAAACAUCUACCUAUAUUGCUGACAUAGUUGCAAGAUUUAUACGUAUUGAGCAAGAACUCAUUAGAUCGAGAUAUGUCCAACAAGGAGAUCUCUCUUGCCUCUUAUGAAGUGUGGCAGAUUUAGAAAGAAAGUGUGGAGAUUUCUUUUAGGCCAAAGAGGGAUGGGUUUGGAAGAGUUAGUUUCUAAAGUUAUUUAGAAUGUUAACCUCCUGUUGGAGGCAUUUGGCACUUAGCCUUUGCUGCUGUACAGCCGAGCUAACUUAUUGACAUCCUCGAAAUUUCCUUACUUUUUAAAUCUUGUUAUGUUGCCUCUUGGGUAGGCUUCAACCUGGUUCCUGUAGAAAAAAAUAAGAUUGCAAAAGUAUAUUAUUAGCAUGUAUCAAUUGUAGUGCAUAACACAUCAAAUUGUACGCAAUGAUGUCCCUUUGUAUGUAAGAACAAGUGAACACAUAAUGUAUUUUUUGUGUCUAUACCUUCAAUGUGGGUAUCUGAAUCUAAACCCAAAAAUAUAUUAUUUUCCUUUUUUGUUUUAUUAUGUUUCAAAUACUUAGCGGGGCUGUUUGUUAAUUCAGGCGGUAUCGCUUCUAUUUUCUUUCUGUUUAUUUCCUUUAAUCAAAAUUUUUGAACUGGACAAGAGAGGGUUUUUUAAGAUCCUGGACAAGGGAGGUUGUCCCCUCCUAUUUUGAUCGCUGAAUAACUCAUGAAAUGGAUGAUAUAGCCAUCAAGAUUUUGUUAUUCUUACACUGAAUGCAUCUAAAGAAAAUAUUGUUACAAGUAAUGAAUGGAUUGUUGUACAUCAAGAUCUGUGUUUUUCUUCAACACUCUUUGAUCCAUUGUUUCUAAAGGCAAUGGUGAAAAAUGUAUUCUCUUCAUUAGUUUCGAGGAGGUGUGACUUUUUUCUCCUCACACAAAGCGAGGAAGUAAAUAACUCCAUUCUCUUAUUUCUAGGCAGGAUGUAUAAGGUUUGACACAUGCGUGAAAUAUAACUCAAGAGGGUUGCGUGUUGAAUGAGUGACAUUAUGAGUUUGAUAUUUUUUCUAAGGAUUUAAAUGCUUCUAGAUUUUUUGAAAUAUGAUUGCUUUGUAAGAGUGUUUAUUGCGCAACAGUGUUAUGUAUAUUGAUAACCAAGAAGAGUGAGUGAAGAGGAUGGAAUAAAUGGCCGCAACUACAUUACAUUUUUGCCAUAUUAGGUGUGCAUGGGCGAGUACUUAGAUGAUGCUAGACGAGUCCAAUCGCAGCAAUAAGAGCCAAAUGUGAGUUGAGAGGCAGGUUAAGUGGGUAUAAGAAGUGACACAAACCUUAUCAAAUAUUGUCUAAUCAAGGUAGGGGAAGGUACAUAAAUCAUGGCGAAGCGAUGGCGAGUAGGAUGAUGAUGGGGCCAAACAAUCAUUGUUGAUCUAAAGGCAGACCCGAAGGCGACAGUGGAGAGACCAUCAAUGUAACAGUAACUAUAGUAUGACUAACCAGAGUAGGGAAAGAUACAUACACAAGGACGAAGCAACGAUGCAACUGAAUCACAACUCCAAAUGCACGGCUACCUUUUUCCUACAGAUUUGGUCAAGGGAGUGACAAACCUUUUUGUAUACUGAAUCACAAUGACAAAUAUAUGCACUAGAAAAUUUGAGUGUGGGUCAUGUGGGUUUUAUUUAAAGUGCAGGUACAAUGCGAUAUUUUUCACAACAAUCAUAUGCUACCUCCAACAUACAUAGUGUAAAUUAUAACAACAUUAAAGUCAAUUUCUCUCUGAAAAAUUUAUUUUUGUUUCGUGGCAACGCACGGGCAUUCAACUAGUGUUACUAGUUGCUCUAUGUUUCAGAACAUAUGCAGCUGUUGUAUGUCGGGCAUGCGGCUGUUGUAUGUGAUUGUUUUAACAUCUUCUUGUUAAUAUUUGUACAGACUUUGCACGCUACAUUUUGAUGAGAAGAUAAACUUGCUAUUGUUAAGAUGAUAAAAAAUGGACAUCUUGAUGUCCAGGACAUGUUCUCUACUAUAGAAGAGAUUACUCAAGAGAUGUUACUGGUUGCUCUAUAUUUUAGAACAUAUAUCCGUCUGUUAUAUGCGAUUGUUGUAACAUCUUCCUUAAGUUAUGACUGCAACUGUUAUAUGUAACAUCUUCUGAUCUAUUGCAGGUUUCCCAAAGGUGCACAAGUUCACUAAGGUUUGGAAGAUCUUCAAGUUGCUGAAGAUUUGGAAGACCUAAAAUUAAGUUGGUGGAGUGAUAAUGACCUGUGUCUUGUUUGUUGAACGUAAAGACUUGCUCUGCUCAUUUUGGUGGUUGUUGAAUUAGCUUAUUUAGGUUGUGUGGCACACAUCUAGAAACAUAUGUACAUCCCUAGUGGCACUACUUUAUUUUGGGUGUGUGGCAAAUGUAUAUAUGUAAUCCUUUUGUGGUACUACCUCUUUAUAUAUGGUCGUUAAGUUUAAGGUUUUCGAUGAGGCCUAUAUGCUACUUUGAUUGAAGUGCAUGUAUAAAUUGUGUGCUAUGUCCUGAGUGCGUAUAUAUAUGGAUGGAUAUUACAUAAUAGGUUUGCCUAGAACAUUUUGCUAGUGAA